UACGAAGGGGGCUAGCGUUGUUCGGAAUCACUGGGCGUAAAGGGCGCGUAGGCGGCUUUAUAAGUCGGGGUGAAAGCCUGUGGCUCAACCACAGAAUUGCCUUCGAUACUGUAGAGCUUGAGACCGGAAGAGGUAAGUGGAACUGCGAGUGUAGAGGUGAAAUUCGUAGAUAUUCGCAAGAACACCAGUGGCGAAGGCGGCUGACUGGUCCGGUUCUGACGCUGAGGCGCGAAAGCGUGGGGAGCGAACAGG
rnacentral:rRNA from 1 species